GCCGCCCUGACAGGAGUUACCAUAGCAACGCCAGAACAGGUUCAGAUGCAAUGUUUCAUCGUUCAGGAUGGCAAAGGAUCUCUCACGCACACACACACACACACACACACACACACACACACACACACACACACACACACACACACACACACACACACACACACACACACACACACACACACACACACACACACACACACACACACACACACACACACACACACACACACACACUCAGGGAGAACUCCUACAGGGCAGAAUGAAUCACCAUCUUCAUGCACCACCCUGGACCCUGUGUCCUCGGGGGGGAGGAGCCCAGAGAAAGCCCCCUGGGUGUGGAGUGACCACCGCCCCGGUGGCGAGUAGCACCGACAUUGCAAAAUCAAAGCCAACUCUAUCGUCAAUUCCAAAAUAUGUGCCAGACACACAGAGGGAUCGGAAUUGCUUUAUCUCCGUCCCACAGUGCAAUAAAAACAAAAGCAUAAGAUAAAAUGAGUAAUAUUUACAUUAAACAAAUUCUAAAUAGUGAAUAAGGUAAGGCAAAACAAAACGGUACGUAUGAAAUAAAAUUAAAUAAAUCAUCUCAGUCCUGUUGAUAAUGAUCAACGAUCAACGCAGCGGUCUGGUUAAUAGUGCAUCCUGUUGAGGACUACCAGCCUAAACAUCUGCCUUAUCUCCCCAUUGGGACUGUGCAUGAGUGCACGGGUGCAUGUGUGUGUUGGCCAGACCACGAAGGUGAAAGGGACCGGUAAAUGACUGACAGUAUUUCUGUUUGCUCAGAAGUUCAUGAUUAAGAGACGGCGGCGAUUCAGGCCACAGGUUGCGGACAGCGUCCUGAGUCAGCGCCCUUCCAUUCGCUUCCAGCCCCAGUUAACAGAACGGUCGAUAAUCCCUAUCGUUUACAGAGCCUCCAUGUUGGCUAUUGUAUACUUAAUAAAACGACCAUGAUAUGGGGAUUAAGUUGAUGAGGAAUUAGGCCACGGAGAGAGGAGAGAGGCUGGGAUUGGCUAGGCGUUGAGUGCGGAAAUGGGAUUAGCCUCCCGAAGGACCACUUCAAUUAUCGCUUAUUGGUGUUCCUUCGGUCACCACAAUCACUCUUUCACUCUUUUUGAGUGAUGCAGAAAAUGAAACACCCAGCCAGUAUUUGGAAUGCUUUAAAUGAACGCAACUAAACCUUGCCCUAUUACGCCUUUGUCAUGCAUAUUAUAUGCCUCUCAAUGUCGCUAUAGUCCCUCCAGAAAAAUGCGGCGUUAUUUUGUGAUUUUUAGAGACUUUCUGGACUGAUAUGCGUGGCUGCAAGGCUCAGAACCUUACAGAAGCUCAUGGAGACCCUCUACUCCCCAUUGUAUUGGAUACUAUCCAUCCCGUCACCACGUUGCUUGAAAAAAGACUUUGAAGAGCUCCUCUUCCACCUUGACUCUUGAGUAUUUUCUGAAAUAGGGAGGCAGUAUUGGAUACUAUGAGGAAGACCAAAGUUCCUCUUAUGGUCAACCUACCACCUGCUUGUCUACCCCCUUUAAGCCCUCCUUUCUUCUUUACAUUGGUCAAUUGUUUCCUUUCACCAUUAAAGGGGGGAGUCACGAUGAAAAAAAAGUUAUGCGAUGUUCACAUGCUUAACCCCUAGGUCGGCGCACCGUGAGCUCCUCACUUCUAUGGAAUCAGACGCCGUCUUGCUUGCGCUCAGGGGGUAAAUCGUUAAGCUAAAAGGCUCACUUUCAGAGAGAGGUACCUACUUCUGUGGAGCGGAAACGGAGCUACCAGAAACAUUGCUAGCUUAAGAGCGAGAGCUGCAAGGGAAAUCGAACCAAUAUCAGCCCUCCUCCAAAUUCAAUGCCCAAAUACCCCCCGAUCUUUGGGGGUGUUUGGGAAAUUGAAUUUCAACUCAGUCUAUCUACCAACUGUACAAUCACUGCAGCAAUAGGAAUCGCCUUCAGAGAAUCUCGAGCUGUGAACAUGAAUAUGAUGAAUAUGCAAUAGUGUUUUGUACUGCCUAACUGAAGGCUGGGAACUGAAGGUUCUUCACUGAGUGAGUUGACCCUGAGGUAUCUGAGUGGCUGCCAGCAUUAUGGGGCCAAUUCUGUAAAUGCUUAAGAAAGGAAACUCAGUGCUUCCUUUCGUAUCUCCUUUAUCCUUGGGUACACUGGAUCAUCCUUUAUGUAAGGAGAUGAGAAAAUUCAGACAAUUCCUUGGCUGACGAACGAUCAAUAUGUCAAAAUCAGCUGCCAUCAUUACGUAGCCUGUUGGAAUCUCUUGUCUUUUCUUUUCUAGUUAUUAUUAAUUCUCCUUCACAUUUUUUCUUGAUCCAAUUACGUUUUCCAUCGAGGAAAAGUGGUUAGGAAAAGACAUAGGAUCUCAUAUUUUGGUCUAUUUGACCAGAGACCUGUUUUUAACCUAGAAACUUUAUUGAAACUGAAUUUCCUUCAGGACGAAUAAAGUAUUAAUCGAUGUCAAGUAGGUGUGCGAUUGCUUAUUUCAGAAGAACCACUGAAGAUAGAGUAUGUAGUGAAAUGCACCCAACAUAACAAUAAUAAAAGGGUAGUACAAGACACUGUGUAGGUUUGAAUUAUCUGUCUAUACAAAUGUUGAAAAAAAAAAGAAAAUCCCAAUAAAAAGGUUUAAAUAGGUUUAAAUAAGUCAGACAAAACGUUAGCAGAAAAGAAAAAAUGUAAAAACACAUUUCAGAAAGGCAUACCAAAUGUAUGCAACUAUGUUUUUGACAGAAUAUAUAUCUAGAAUAGGAUUUUAAGGAUUUUUAAGUCAGAAACAGAGAAAUGUGAGCUGGAAGGGAUGCUAAAAAUGUUAACAAUUUGUGUGCUUGGGUGAAGAUGUAUUGUUGUGUAUACUUAUGUGUAGGCCUAUAUAUGCCUACAUAUGCCUAUAUAUAUAUAUAUAUAUAUAUAUAUAUAUAUAUAUAUAUAUAUAUAUAUAUAUAUAUAUAUAUAUAUAUAUAUAUAUGUAUAUAUAUAUGUGUUUGUUUGUCAGGCUGUCCUUCACACUUUAUUGUCAUGAUACCAAUUAGCCUAAUUCCCGUAUCCGCCCCUGAAUCUAUUCUCGCCACAUGCAAAUAAGACGUUUAGACAGCAGGCACUGUGCCCUUAUUAAAUGCAACAUGCACGAAACGUAUCAUCUGGAGUGGUGGAAUGUACACACACAAUAAGACAAUAGAAUUGGUGGGCAAUCUGGGCGUUGCUAGCACACACACACACACACACACACACAUGCACACACACUUGCAUGCACACACAAGCUGUGGCAAUCUGUCAGCAACACACGAGCGAAUACAUAGACUCUUAACAGACAUCGGCAGCUGCCUUAAUACGUCAAGCUCAGUGAAGUAUCUAGCACGCUCUCUCUCUCUCUCUCUCUCUCUCUCUCUCUCUCUCUCUCUCUCUCUCUCUCUCUCUCUCUCCUUAUCUUUGCCUCUGACUGGCUCUCCUUCAUCCCUUUUUUAUUUCAAGAACUCGCAGGAGAAUGAAGGUAAAUGUGGUGCCGUGUGCGUAUUAUUUUUGUGUGUGUGUCUGCGUGUGUGUUUGUCUGCAUCGGUUGGAUGACGUGUCAAAUUUUUCUAUUUUGUAUUGAACAACAAAUAAAUCUACACACACGCACACAGGGAGGCGUGCAGAAUAUCUCACACAAAGACACACACACACACGCAUGCACGCACACAAACAGGACAGACCUCUUUCAAGUGGUUUCCUUCCCUCCUCCCAUCCUGCCACUGCGACCAGUCUCCCCGUGAAGCCUCUCUUACUCUGCCCCGUGCUUCCUGUCGGCCACAGACCCCAACAGGAGUCAAGCAGAGGAUCCGAGCGUGUGGACGGGAUGCUGUGUUCAAACUGGUCUAGCUCAGCACUGAUCUCUACCCAUGAUGUAGUCGUCUGUCUGCACCCUCUCCCCACGCUGCGUCUCAUCUGUCUGCGAGCAGGUCUCUCUACCGUGUCCGUGGCUGACCAUCCGGUACAUUUGGUUUCUAGUCCGUUUGGUAUUUUAUGUUUUUUUUUUUUUUUUUAUUAUUUCUGUUUCGCAGUUAUACUUCUAUGGAGAACCAAGAUCUGAU
ensembl:lncRNA